rnacentral:rRNA from 1 species
AUUGAACGCUGGCGGAAUGCUUUACACAUGCAAGUCGAACGGCAGCACGGGUGCUUGCACCUGGUGGCGAGUGGCGAACGAGUGAGUAAUACAUCGGAAUGUACCCUGACGUAGGGGAUAACGUAGCGAAAGUUACGCUAAUACCGCAUACGUCCUGAGGGAGAAAGCAGGGGAUCGUAAGACCUUGCGCGUUAGGAGCGGCCGAUGGCGGAUUAGCUAGUUGGUAGGGUAAAGGCCUACCAAGGCGACGAUCCGUAGCGGGUCUGAGAGGACGACCCGCCACACUGGAACUGAGACACGGUCCAGACUCCUACGGGAGGCAGCAGUGGGGAAUUUUGGACAAUGGGCGAAAGCCUGAUCCAGCCAUUCCGCGUGAGUGAAGAAGGCCUUCGGGUUGUAAAGCUCUUUCGGCAGGGAAGAAACGGUUUUGGAUAAUACCCAGAACUAAUGACGGUACCUGAAGAAGAAGCACCGGCUAACUACGUGCCAGCAGCCGCAGUAA